rnacentral:lncRNA from 1 species
CGGCAAGUGGUUCCAUGACUCGGAUUCGGACCACUUUCUACAUGCAGGAAUAGGUAAGGAACAAAAGAUGGUCUGGCUGUAUUGAAGGCUUUUUUAAAAACUGAAUUCUGUGAAGAAAAUAUAAGCUACUGGCUGACUUGUGAAAACUUCCAAAAAAUCUACCCACUCCAGAAGCUAUCCUUAAAUCCAAGAUAAAUAUAUACAGUCUUCUUAGAAAAAAAAAACUAAAGAGAGAUGGCUGUCAUUGAAGCAGACCACAGGGCCCCUUUUGCUGUUAUGGACUGAAAUGUGCCUCCCUAAAACUCAAACAUUGAAGUGCUAACCACUAAUGUGACUCUACCUGAAGAAAGUGCUUUUAAGCAGGUCAAAUGAUAUAAGUGUCUGUCACAUUGGGAGAAAGGCUUCUGGAAAAAUUGAGCCUAUUAGGACCAUGAUCUUAUAUUUUCAACCUCCACAACUCUGAGAAGUAAAAUCCCAUGAUUUAAAUCAUAUUCUCUGUGGUAUUUUCUUAGCAAAUUAAUACAUCCUCAUUUCUGCCAACAUUUAGUGCAGUCAUCUAGAAGGUCCUCAUGAUUAGCAGAGAAAUAUAG